GCCCCUGUAGUGUAGCCCGGCUAGCAUCCAAGACUGUCACUCUUGGGAUCCGGGUUCAAAUCCCGGCGGGGGCGCCA
rnacentral:tRNA from 1 species